GCUCUCCAUCACUCAUCGCCAAAUCGUUGUAUCAACUACUGCGGAUCACCAUUCACCCACCUGCCUUCCUGCUCAGCCAUCUGCCUCAACCUGCUCUCUGGACUCAAAACUGCUCAGCCACACUCAGACCCCUACUCUGGUCUGCUCAGCCUUUGUUCCCUUCACUCUGCUAACCUCCAGAGUCUUCAACCCAUCUUCAUUUCCAUUUGCCACAAUAAACCUCAUUACCAAUCAAC